AUUACAGGCGUGAGCCACUGCGCCCGGCCCUAAGGAAGUCUAUUUUUAAAGAAAGGACUACUCACUAAAGUCCGACUGUUAAUUUCAUAGCAUAUUGUUUGUCAGAGAGGAACUAGGUAAGAUAGAUAAUGACUUAGCACCAUUCGUGACUUAAAGGAUGAAAAAGCCAAGCUCCUGGCCUUCUAAUGGAGAGAUAAAGACUUUGGGAGCAAAGAUGAGGUUCGGAGAAAGGUUUACUGUCAAGCAAGGAAUCUGAUCUGACCCAGAGAACUUCAGUUCUGGGGAUGAGGCCCUAAGAAUCCGGUCUCCGUCAGGAAAGCAGUCUGUGGGCUCUGGAGCGACCUGGGAUCUGGAGUACAGUUCUGUUGGACAGUGCUGCAAGGAUGGAGAGACUAUUAAGAUCACCUGACUACACCAUUUAAAAAAUUUUUUGAAUGAACUAUCUUUGUUUGUAAGCCCCAAAACAUGGUCUGAAGACUCAUUAGUGACCUGAUCAUACAGCUGACCUCUGAACAACAUGAGUUUGAACUGCGUGCGGGUCACUUAUAGGCAAGUGUUCAACUGCACGGGGCAGGAGCAGUUGGUGCCCAAUCUGCUAAUUGUUCAAAGGUAGAGUGUAGUUUUUAAAGACAAGUGAGGUAAUUUCUUUUAAAUCUCUAGGCUACUACAAUACAGAAUGCUGGGAAAUGAAUUAAUGUUAUGCUUACGUGUGCUUUUCAAAAUUCCCCUUGUGACUAAUGGGAUGUCACUCUGCAAAAACAUUGUUAGUUUCCCAUUGAUUCCACUGGUUUGAGUGUGUUUAAUGCCGAGGAAAGUGAGAGUUCUUUCGGAAGAUGGUAGGUUUUUGUCUUUUUGAGGUGGUUCAUUUACUUUGAGAAUCAUCAUUUUGUAUUUUUAAAACCAAGUCUUAUAUGCAAAAUUAUUGAACUGUGAGAAGAAAAG
rnacentral:lncRNA from 1 species